GGCCGUAUGGUCUAGUAGUAUGAUUCUCGCUUUGGGAGAAUCGCGCCUUAAUUGCGAGAGGUCCUGGGUUCAAUUCCCAGUGCGGCCC
rfam:Malassezia globosa CBS 7966 mgl_sf_12.1, whole genome shotgun sequence.